AUAAAUAUAAUUUUAGAAUUUUAUUUCUGGUGCAUGAAAACAUCUAGUAAUACCAAACAAAAGUAGUGACAUGGGUAUAUGAAGCUGUGCUUAAGAAGUUGUCUACGUAGCUAUGAAUGCCCAUAUCUUCAAUGAGAUCACCUACUUGGUCCGGCCAUUUUUAUUGACAGGAGCAGUUAAAUCCUUAUACUAGUUUCAUAAUGAAUUACAAUCAAUGAAACCAAUAAAUAAUGAAACUAAUAAAUAGUAAUUAUAUCAGAGUGUGGACAUCAUCCCAUUCCAAUUUUACCAAAAAAAUAUCCCAUUCCACACCAAUCCUCGUCGCUC
rnacentral:lncRNA from 1 species